GGCAGGAGUUAGAGGUCACGGUGGAGUACCACACCCAGCACAGCGGGCAGCUGAGGGAGCGGAGUGGUGACGUCAUCGCCCUCGUGCAGCCCCUCAACAGCGCUGACCCCACGUCUGAGAGGUGGUACCACGGCCACAUGCCCGGCCGCGAGGCGGAGCGCCUGCUGCUGGAGCGAGGCCGCGUGGGGAGCUUUCUGGUGCGAGAGAGCGCCAGCAAGCCCGGCUCCUGCGUGCUCUCAGCUCGUACAGACGCCGCAGUGGGGGGAGG